rnacentral:rRNA from 1 species
CCAGUAGCGUAUAUUAAAGUUGCUGCAGUUAAAAAGCUCGUAGUUGAAUUUCGGGACCAAUAUGUCGGUCGUGCUUCGGUACGUACUGGCAUCGUUGGUUUCUCCCUUCUGAAGAACCAUGAUGUCAUUUAUUUGGUGUCGUGGGGAAUCAGGACUGUUACUUUGAAAAAAUUAGAGUGUUUAAAGCAGGCUCACGCUUGAAUACAUUAGCAUGGAAUAAUGAAAUAGGACGUUUGAUUCUAUUUUGUUGGUUUCUAGGAUCGACGUAAUGAUUAAUAGGGAUAGUUGGGGGCAUUAGUAUUCAAUUGUCAGAGGUGAAAUUCUUGGAUUUAUUGAAGACUAACUACUGCGAAAGCAUUUGCCAAGGAUGUUUUCAUUAAUCAAGAACGAAAGUUAGGGGAUCGAAGACGAUCAGAUACCGUCGUAGUCUUAACCAUAAACUAUGCCGACUAGGGAUCGGAUGAUGUUAAUUUUUUAAUGACUCAUUCGGCGCCUUACG